UACAGAGGUCUCAAGCGUUGUUCGGAAUCACUGGGCGUAAAGGGUGCGUAGGCGGCAUGGAAAGUCAGAUGUGAAAUCCGAGAGCUCAACUUUCGAAUUGCAUCCGAUACUCCCGUGCUAGAGAACUGAAGGGGAGCUUGGAAUUCUCGGUGUAGCAGUGAAAUGCGUAGAUAUCGAGAGGAACACUAGUGGCGAAGGCGAAGCUCUGGGCAGUAUCUGACGCUGAGGCACGAAGGCCAGGGGAGCGAACGGG
rnacentral:rRNA from 1 species